AUUCCAUGAUGAGGACAUUUUCUCAAUAAACCUUUUAAUCUUUCCCAAGCCUGAUAAACUGACUCAGUGUAAAUUUGCAAAAAAUUAUUAAUAUCUUGUCUCAUUUU
rfam:Nicotiana attenuata strain TT scaffold12880, whole genome shotgun sequence.